UAGGGUGCAAGCGUUAAUCGGAAUUACUGGGCGUAAAGCGUGCGCAGGCGGUGAUGUAAGACAGAUGUGAAAUCCCCGGGCUCAACCUGGGAACUGCAUUUGUGACUGCAUCGCUGGAGUGCGGCAGAGGGGGAUGGAAUUCCGCGUGUAGCAGUGAAAUGCGUAGAUAUGCGGAGGAACACCGAUGGCGAAGGCAAUCCCCUGGGCCUGCACUGACGCUCAUGCACGAAAGCGUGGGGAGCGAACGGG
rnacentral:rRNA from 1 species